rnacentral:lncRNA from 1 species
UUCCGUUUAUCUCGUUUCAGUUUAUUUCUCUUUCAGUUUAUUUUUGUUUCAGUUAAUUCUCUUGGUCUUGAUAAGGAAAUAGGUAAGUUCUCAAUUCCCUGUGGAUUCGAUCCUUUCACCACUAUCUACAGUUGUAAAAUUGUUGAUAACCAGAAAGGUUAUUUUUGACCGGCUUCGACAACCACGAGUCAAAAAUUGGCGCCGUUGCCAGGGAGUUGGUUUAACUUAUUUGUUUUUCUUUCAUGAC